GACGAACGCUGGCGGCGUGCCUAAUACAUGCAAGUAGAACGCUGAAGGAGGAGCUUGCCCUUCUGGAUGAGUUGCGAACGGGUGAGUAACGCGUAGGUAACCUGCCUGUUAGCGGGGGAUAACUAUUGGAAACGAUAGCUAAUACCGCAUAACAGUAGAUGAUGCAUGACAUUUGCUUAAAAGGUGCAAUUGCACCACUACCAGAUGGACCUGCGUUGUAUUAGCUAGUUGGUGGGGUAACGGCUCACCAAGGCGACGAUACAUAGCCGACCUGAGAGGGUGAUCGGCCACACUGGGACUGGGACACGGCCCAGACUCCUACGGGGGGCAGCAGUAGGGAAUCUUCGGCAAUGGGCGGAAGUCUGAACGAGCAACGCCGCGUGAGGGAAGAAGGUUUUCGGAUCGUAAAGCUCUGUUGUAAGAGAAGAACGAGUGUGGGAGUGGAAAGUUCACACUGUGACGGUAUCUUAUCAGAAAGGGACGGCUAACUACGUG
rnacentral:rRNA from 1 species